AUCAAGCACCUUCCCGUCGCCACCUCCUCCCAUAUCUUCAGGUUCCCCUCUUCCUCCUCCGCCUCCUCUUCUGUCAGCACCACGUCUCAACACUGGCACCUCUGUUAAUGUGCCGCCACCGCCUCCCCCACCUCCCCCACCUCCCCUAAGACUGUAACAUUACAGUGUGUCUUGUACUUGGUAGAAUAACUUCUCAUAUUACUUGCGGUUACUCAGACUGUGAACAAGCCUGUGAGAUCAACAUUUUGUUUUUUUUUUAGCUCGAGAGCUUGCAGUGGUUUAAAGCCUGUUGAAUGGCAGUUCUGUUGGUACAGAUAGCCGCUGUACAGAUUCCUCCAACAUGUCUCAACAACACCUCGACUGCAUUCCUUAAAAACAAGCUGAAACAGGGAUUCUUGCUCUCCCUUGUCUGCUUAUCCCCCCACCCCACCCCCCACCCCAAAUGUGAUUUCCUUUCCUUAUUACACCUUCAUAUUGUUACCUUUAAUGGCAGUGGACUUUAGCCCAGUGCAGCUGUCAAUAUACUGUGUAGCAAGAGCAUAACUGAUGAUAAGUUGCGUCAGUAGCGCCAAUCUAGGUGAUUUCUGCUUCUUAAACAAGUCCAUGAGGCUGUACAUUGAUAUAAGUCAACAUUCUGCUUAACCUGCAUAUAGCUGAAGCUUUAAAGAAAAAUCUGAUGGACUUCAACUUUCUUAUUUAUUUGGUUCCUGUGUUGAUUGUCGCCAUCCUUGUGUGCAUAUUUUGUUGCCUAACUUAUAAUAGAGAACCAGGACAAUACUGCUCAUCUAGUUACAAUAAUUCUCCCGCUGUGUACACGAUUCCUAUACUGGACGAGCAACAGCGGGACGAGGAGGAAGUAAUUCACGUUUAUGAACUGUAUUUUCAGCCUCCUGUGUACAACUUAAGAAAUGACAGUCCUCCCCCUCCAUACAUACUUGAACCACCACCCUACAUCAACCCACCUUCACCACCACCCUACAUCAACCCACCACCGUGCCUCAACCAGCUCCCACUUCCCCCACCACCGUCGCCACCACCACUGCCAGCCCCACCACCCUACAUCAACCAGUCACCACUGCCACCAACGCCGCCACCGCCACUACCAUCACUACUACUACCAGCACCACCACCCUACAUCAGUCCACCAUCAUCCCCCUAACUCAGCCCAUGACCAUUUAUGCCUUCUUCCAUCCAUUCCAAAAUAUGAGCAUAUAUGUGGUCAGAAGUUUCAUUUGGGACAUUCGGUGUAUGUAUUAGAUUAAAUAUUGUAAUUCCACAUUGUGGGCGAAAGAUUCCUGUAUUGACAUAGUUCAUUUCAAACUUAAAUGCACUAAUGCACUUAUAUAUAAAAUAUGUUUUUGGUGAAAAGUUUUCUUGUAGUUUUUUUUGUUUGUUUGUUUGUUUUUGCUGUUUCAUUGUAAUGAUCCUGCUUCACAACAAAUUCACAUUUAAAAAACUGACCUGAUGUUUCUCAAAGGAAGACCGAGGAAUAUGGAGGACCACAAGAGCCACGCGCAUCGAAAUAAAAAUUUCUGUGCUUAAAUAAUGAAUUGUAGAAUAAAUUCUGCAAUUGUAAAUUCAUUUUUGAAUUCCAAUUUAAUAAACUGCAUUUCAAAAUCCUUUUUCC
ensembl:lncRNA